AGUGAACGCUGGCGGUAGGCCUAACACAUGCAAGUCGAACGGCAGCACAGGAGAGCUUGCUCUCUGGGUGGCGAGUGGCGGACGGGUGAGGAAUACAUCGGAAUCUACUUUUUCGUGGGGGUUAACGUAGGGAAACUUACGCUAAUACCGCAUACGACCUACGGGUGAAAGCAGGGGACCUUCGGCCCUUGCGCGAUUGAAUGAGCCGAUGUCGGAUUAGCUAGUUGGCGGGGUAAAGGCCCACCAAGGCGACGAUCCGUAGCUGGUCUGAGAGGAUGAUCAGCCACACUGGAACUGAGACACGGUCCAGACUCCUACGGGAGGCAGCAGUGGGGAAUAUUGGACAAUGGGCGCAAGCCUGAUCCAGCCAUACCGCGUGGGUGAAGAAGGCCUUCGGGUUGUAAAGCCCUUUUGUUGGGAAAGAAAUCCAGCUGGCUAAUACCCGGUUGGGAUGAAGGUACCCAAAGAAUAAGCACCGGCUAACUUCGUGCCAGCAGCCGCAGUAA
rnacentral:rRNA from 1 species